CUAGAAUAAUAUGAAGCUAAAUAAAUUUUUUUUUAUCCCUUCAGGGAUAAAAAUGUUUAUUUAUAAUUUUUUUAAAUGGGAACCACUAUUUUUGAUUUGAUAAUAUGAUAGAAAAAAAAAUUACAAGCAACUUUGUUCGUACAAUUUUUUUUUUCCGAUUAACCGUUAGUCCGUUACAGCUUGUUAAAGUUGAGUGAUUUUAUGCCAAGUUUCUAUUGUUAUUUUACUGUAUUAAAUACAGAAGUCAUUAUUUUUAUUUGCUGUUGCAUAAACAAAAUUUUAUUGAUCAAGUUAUGACAGGUAAAUUAACCAUAAAAAUUUACGACGCACUAAAUGAGUGAUAACAAUAAUAGAUACAAAUCGGAUUUUCGGUGUAUUAUUAAUAGCAGUCUAUGGGUAUGUAAGACUAAAGCAUAAAUUUCUUAGCCUCCCUUCACCAUAGUAUAAUAACUAAAUACAAUCAAAUACUACGAUAAUGUUAUCGUAAUCAUUCUUUACACAAAAUAAUCUUUUUAACUUUUGUUGACUGAUAUGAAUUAAAAGCUUUAACAUAACCAUAUAAACGCUCGUCUUUUAAAAGAUUUUUGUUUGUUAUUUAAUUAUCUUAAACAUAACCUUAAAAAACUAAACUGGUACAGUACUAAUUUGCUGGCUGUACUACAAGAUUGCGUGGUCAAACAUUUUUGUACAUUAAUAAUGUUACAUUGUUUAAUUAUUAUCUAAAUAUAGUGUUUUAGUGCAGUAAAUUAAUAAAAAACUGUUUUAUUUGUAUGUUGUUACAAUUAAUAAAUUAUAUUUGAAAGUUUAUUGAAAUAAUUAAAUUUAAAGAAUAUCGAACAAUAGGCGAGUACAAUAGACAAUGAAGUAAAUUUUAUAGAUCUGUCUUAAUAAUUUUAUUUUAUGAAAUAGCUGCAGAAAAAAUGAAAUUUACCGAAAAAUUAAAGAGAUUAAUUUUCGAAGAUAUUUACAGUUUUGGAUUUGCUGCUGUCGAAUGACAAAAUUACCGAAAAACUUAACUUUUUUCUCUUUUGAGAAAAAUAAGUUUUGCUGUAGUGACAUUUUACUUAAAAAUUUUUAGUUUUGAUACCUGCUAUUGUAAGUUAUCAUCUGUAUUAUUAAGUAUGCACUUAUAAGUAAACUAAGAUACUUCAAUAUCAUAAGAUUAAUAUCCUAAUCAUAUUAAGAAACAAAAAAAGAUUGUAAUCAUAAUUUUUUAUUACUGUCUAUCAUAAUAAAGUCAUCUAUCGAAUUAACAUAUAGUUCUUGAACAAACUAAAUUAUAGUUUUUGUACAAUUUUGAUGUCUAUUGGUUUUGUAUACACUUGUCUUAACAUACUACAUUAAUAAGCUUUAAUUUCAUAUCAGAUCAACAUUAGAAUGAAUUGUUAUACUACAAAUACAGUAUUGUAGCUAAAUUUCUCAUUUGAAUUUUCAUUGAACAAUAUUAGAUUGCAAAAAAAUAAAUAAAUCUAAUAGUAAUUGUUAAAUUUUUUAAUUAAAAUAGGGCAAUGUAAUAAAGUAAUACAUGUAGUUAUUAUAGUACUAUUUUUAUGAUGUAAUAUUAGAGGGAGUAGUAAGAAAAUAUCUUAAAAUUUAAGAUAUAAGUAAUUGUUAUUUUAUAUGUUACUUUCAAGUAUUUAAAAAAAAAUUAUAGUAAAAUUAUUAUUUUUAUAGAUAAUAUGUUUACUACAGUAGAAUUUUGAUAAGGUUAAGAAUAUUGCGUUCCUUGAAAAAGAAAAUUUUACUCAAAAGAAAUAAAUAUUAUAGAUAAUACAAAUAAAUUAUUUGUAGUUGUAUAGCUAAAAGAUUUGAAUGUGGUAGGUUAGACUAGUUAAAGCAAUUAGUUUAAAUUUAAAAGCUGUUAAUUAUUAAAAUAAAUACAUAAAUUCAUUAAAACUUCACAAAUUUUAGUAUUGCCAAUUGGAAUCAAUCUGUUAUAUUUUUAUAAAUAAGUGUUGAAUACAAACUCAAAUUCUUAAAUAAUUUUAAGUCAAAUUUUUUUUUUAAUAGUUCAAAAACCUUAUUAAGUUAAAAAAAUAAUUUCCCUUGAGCCUUAACUUAUCCAGGUUCUACUGUAUUUUAAAAUUGGCAUCAGUGCCGUGCCAAGAAAAGGGCAUAGGAUGAUAUAAGGUUCAUACACUUUGCAAUAUUUAAUUGUUAUAAUUGAUAGUUAUUUAAUAUUAUAGGAUGCUAACAUAUAAUUUAAAAAAAAAUUAUAUAUAUAAAUUUUAUAAAUUAAAAUAAAUAAAUAAUUAAUAAAUUUUUACAUAUUCUCUUUUCAUUGUGUCAGUGCUAGGUUUUACAGUUUUUCUUGUGCUUGAAAGAAAGUAGUUUAGGUGGGAUACAUUUCUUCCAAUAAAAAUUAUUACAUGAUGAAGAUAUUAUUAUUUUUUUUAAGGGAGAAAUAAUAGUUAUUCAGAACAGAAACUCCAUACUAGACCUAACCCCAAGACCUAUACUAGUGGAGGCAUGAUUGCAAUGCAUUUUAUGAGGGAUCAAGGUUUUUUUUGUGAAACUGGUUUUUUUUCAUUAGGAAUUAUUAAAAUGUCUGUAUAAGGGUUAUCUUAAUACUUAAUUUUCUAUGGCAUUACGCAUAUUCUACAUGAAUUCAUGUAUUACGCAUAUUCUGUCAUGGAAUAAAGUAUAAGGUAUAACUCUCAUACAGGUGUUUCACAAUUCCAAAGUGAAAAAAAUUCUAAGUUGAGCAAAAAAAAUAAAGUUUUCUACAAAAUAAUGAUAAAAAAUAAUUGAAACGGUCAUUUCAAAAACGACAUGAGUAAUAAAAUUUAAAUUUCCAUGUAUCAAAAAAAACUUAAUUACUCUAGAAAUUCAACUUGUUUUGCACUUCCACCUAUUUACUAAUUUAUUUUUAAGGUUUCUGGUAUUUAUAAUUCAUAGUUUUAAAUAGUCUAACUUUGACCAAAUUCAUUAAAUUGAAAUAAAACAUUUUUGAUUUGCAUUG